GCAACACUGAACUGAAAUGCGGAUCGUAACCGAUUUAUUCACUUGGCAUCACUUUGUUACUUAGAGCACAUUAAACUGGGGUAUUUGGUCUGAGCUACUCUUCUAGUGGCAUCCCUCAAAUGUCAAGAUCUAAGAAAGAAACUUGAAAAGCAUC